GUUCCUAUAGUGUAGCGGUUAGCACGCGAGAUUCUGAUUCUCGAGUCCCCAUUUCGAAUAUGGGUAGGAACU